AGUGAACGCUGGCGGUAGGCCUAACACAUGCAAGUCGAACGGCAGCACAGUAAGAGCUUGCUCUUACGGGUGGCGAGUGGCGGACGGGUGAGGAAUACAUCGGAAUCUACUUUUUCGUGGGGGAUAACGUAGGGAAACUUACGCUAAUACCGCAUACGACCUACGGGUGAAAGCAGGGGAUCUUCGGACCUUGCGCGAUUGAAUGAGCCGAUGUCGGAUUAGCUAGUUGGCGGGGUAAAGGCCCACCAAGGCGACGAUCCGUAGCUGGUCUGAGAGGAUGAUCAGCCACACUGGAGCUGAGACCCGGUCCAGACUCCUACGGGAGGCAGCAGUGGGGAAUAUUGGACAAUGGGCGCAAGCCUGAUCCAGCCAUACCGCGUGGGUGAAGAAGGCCUUCGGGUUGUAAAGCCCUUUUGUUGGGAAAGAAAAGCAGCAGGUUAAUACCCCGCUGUUCUGACGGUACCCAAAGCAUACGCACCGGCUAACUUCGUG
rnacentral:rRNA from 1 species